rnacentral:tRNA from 1 species
GCCUGGCUGGCUCAGUCGGUGGAGCAUGCAACUUGUGAUCUCAGGGUCGUGAGUUCAAGCCCCACACUGGGUA